GACGAACGCUGGCGGCGUGCUUAACACAUGCAAGUCGAACGCUGAAGCUCAGCUUUUGUUGGGUGGAUGAGUGGCGAACGGGUGAGUAACACGUGAGUAACCUGCCCCCUUCUUUGGGAUAACGCCCGGAAACGGGUGCUAAUACUGGAUAUUCACUGGUCUUCGCAUGGGGGUUGGUGGAAAGGGUUUUUCUGGUGGGGGAUGGGCUCGCGGCCUAUCAGCUUGUUGGUGGGGUGAUGGCCUACCAAGGCUUUGACGGGUAGCCGGCCUGAGAGGGUGACCGGUAACAUUGGGACGGAGAAGCGGCCCAGACGCGUACGGGGGGCAGCAGUGGGGAAUAUUGCACAAUGGGCGAAAGCCUGAUGCAGCGACGCUGCGUGAGGGAUGGAGGCCUUCGAGUUGUGAACCUCUGUCGCACAUGGUCAAGCCGCAACAAUGGUUGUGGUGAGGGUAGUGGGUAAAGAAGCGCCGGCUAACUACGUG
rnacentral:rRNA from 1 species